rnacentral:rRNA from 1 species
CCUACGGGCGGCAGCAGUGAGGAAUAUUGGUCAAUGGACGAGAGUCUGAACCAGCCAUGUCGCGUGCAGGAUGACUGCCCUAUGAGUUGUAAACUGCUUUUAUAAAAGGAUAAACCCAGGUACGUGUGUCUGUUUGCAAGUACCUUACGAAUAAGGAUCGGCUAACUCCGUGCCAGCAGCCGCGGUAAUACGGAGGAUCCGAGCGUUAUCCGGAUUUAUUGGGUUUAAAGGGAGCGUAGGUGGGUGGAUAAGUCAGUUGUGAAAGUCUGAGGCUCAACUGGAAAAUUGCAUCUGAUACUGUUCGUCUAGAGUACAGUUGCGGUAGGCGGAAUGCAUGGUGUAGCGGUGAAAUGCUUAGAGAUCAUACAGAACCCCGAUUGCGAAGGCAGCUUACCAAGCUGUGACUGACGUUGAUGCACGAAAGAGUGGGGAUCAAACAGGAUUAGAUACCCGGGUAGUC